rnacentral:lncRNA from 1 species
AUUUUUAAAAAUAUAUGGACCGCUUCACGAAUUUACGUGCCAUCCUUGCACAGGGGCCAUGCUAAUCUUCUCUGUAUCCUUCUAAUUUUAGUAUAUGUGCUGCCAAAGAGAGCACUACUACUAAGAUUUUUGGAGUUUAAAGAAAAUGGAGUUUAAAGAGCAUUUCUCCCUGCAUGGAGUUCCUUGUAAAUCCUUGCUGUAGUUUGGAUCUUGAAUGUUCCUCAGAAGCCCAUGUAUUAGAGGCUUUGUUACUGGGAUGGAACUACUCGGAGAUGCUGGAAUCUUUGAGAGAUGAAGCCUCAUAGCAGCACCAUAGGUGGUGUUACCCUUAUAUGGAGACCCUAGAGGAUGUUGUAUAUUGGAGAAGACCCACUACACUGCUGGCCCUUAGUGAAGAAGUUGAAAAUGCCUGUGCAGCAGUCUCAGUGACCAAGGUUACCCGAGCAGCAGUUCGCUGAACUAAUAAACACCUGGAAGCUCACGGCCACCACUCGGAGCACCUCUUCUAAUUGUAGAGGCCAAAGGGUGGGGAAAGAUGGAGAGAAGGAAACCAUUGGGAAAAGAGAACACAGGUGCAGACUGUAGCUCUGCAUCUUCCAGGAGGACUUUAGAGAUGCUUGUUGGAGGGCAGAGAAAUGCAAAGCAGCACUGCUAGGACAUGAAAGAGGAGGGUGUGGAGGAGAGGAGAGUGCCUGUAAAGUAAAGGUGAUUAUGACCUAGUCUCUCUCAUCACUGAGACUUGGAACUCACGGAAUAAUGUACUGGGGAAUUUCUUAAUGACAUUCUGGCUUCUACAGAGGGAUGAAGUGACACAGCUCUUCAUAUUGAUGAAAGAAAAAUACAGAGGAGGACCCACCUGAGGUCCAGAUAGUACGAGAUUCAAAAAAACCUCAUGUUGUAUUUUGGAGAUUUAUCAUCAAAUUUCUCUCAUACUGGAGCUUCCAAAGUGAAUCACUGCUGUCUACUGCAGACCCAGCUCCUGACCAGGGCCCCCCAGCUGAGAAAACUAGGUGGAGCCACAGUUCGGAGGAGCCGAGGGGAAGCCUCUUGCUGACCUCCAGCUGCAAAAACACCAAGGCACAGCCCCCUGGGUUUGCAAAUGCUAGCAUUACAGCCAGCAACCUUGGGCCUGAGGAGCAGGGCAUGAGGAAGAGUGCCUGGACAGCCCACAGGCUCUGGAACUCUGCUGCAUCUCAUCUCUGGGUCUUAUUUUGGCUUAUGGUCUGAGGUGGACUUAAUUCAAAUGAAGGUGAGGGUGUACUCGAGCAGCUUCAUCUUGUUACUUAGAAAACCCCAAGCAGAAUGAUAAAGCUUUUUUCCCUGAAAGCCCAGUCAAAGUCCUGGGGAAGGAUUUCAGGGACUCAAUGUGGCUCAUGUGGGUUCCUCUGAAGAAAGCAAACAGCCUUUUACUAGUCCCACUUCAUCAAGCUGCCCAGCCCUAGGAGCGGGAGUUAAGAGCAGUCUCUCCGAAACUCCACGAUGGCUCACUCAAGGGAAAUUAGAGUGAUCUCCAGGGAAGGGGAUGCUGGCCAGACAGAACCAAAGUGCCCUCUAACAGAUGGUAAGUGGCAGUGUGAAGAGGAUUUUCAUUCAGCUGUAGAUGAGGUUGGGAUCAGUCUUUAGCUAGUAUAAGCAAAUUAAGUCCUACAACAUACAAAUCAUGCAAGGUGUUGCAGAAAGACGUCAAGCUCUAGAAGGAAAGUGUCAUAGGUAAGUGUAAUUUAGUGAGAUUUCAGUCUUCUUCCUCUCCAAGUCUCCCCUUUGACUGUGUCUUGAUUGCACCCAACCCUUAUGUCCCUCUCUAUUUUACCUUGGUAAUCCCCUGCAGCACAUACUAAUACUGAGAAUAGUGCAAAUGAAGCAUUUGAAGGACUACCUCCUACCCAUUGGCCUUUCUUUCCUGUCCGGGCAGCAGGAUGAAUUCUAUUCCACAAGGUUGCCAUGUUUCUUGUUUUUCUAAACUCAUUGCUUCCCUCUGCAUGUUCCAGAUGUUGGUCCAUAGGAGACCUGUAGCUGGCCAUAUUGAUUGUUCCUCUCUGAUGUUGCUGGACAGGGAUACUCUGCAUCAUGUUAUUUUCCGAGGGAAUCAGCAAAAUGUGGUGGAAAAAGCACUGCACAAUCAGGUCCCUUGUCACUCCCAUAUGCCUCAACUUCUUUCUAUUGCUAUCAUUAUCAGACUGGUCACACUAUGGAUAGUCUCAGAUUUCUUCCCCUCCCCCAGUGAGACACCUCUAACUUAACACUAGAUGAGAUCUAAGCAAUAUUAAAGGUAGAAUUUCUCUUAAGUAUAUAAUUUGGGGCUCAUGCUUAGCUUGUAGCUAAGAAAGCAUUAAACUAUUUUCAGAUAAAUCCAUUGUAAAGUAUUUUUAGAAUUUGAGUUACAACCGAAAAGUCCUCUAUCUUACCUAAUUGAUAUUAUCUUCUGGGAUAAACAUUAAAAAUGCAGAAUGAGUGAAUCUUGACUAUAAGCAUUUCAUGUGUCUCAAAGAUACCACAUUUUAUUUAUUUAUAUUUUUAAAAGGAAGUGAAAAAGAACAGGGAGACACCAAUCAUUGAGAUAAACAAAGUGCCUGUGUGUUGAUCUGAGAUUCUAACCCAGUCUUCAAGAUUUAGGGAGCUGGUUUAUUAUUUUUUUUUGAGUUCUUUGUAUAUUCUAGAUAUUAGUCCUCUUUCUGAGGAGUAGCUUGAAAACAUUUUUUCCCAUUCUCUAGGUUUCUCUUCACUCUACUGAUUGAUUCUUUUGCUGUAUAGAAGCUUUUUAGUCUGAUAUAAUCUCAUUUGUUGAUUCUUGCUGCUAUUUCUUGUGCCAGUGAGGUUCGGUUUAGAAAAUCCUUUCUUACACCUAUGUCUUCAAAUGUUUUACCUAUUUUAUCUUCCAAAAGGUUUAAUGUUUCUGUUUUAAUGUUUAGAUCUUUGAUCCAUUUUGAUUUUAAUUUAUACAUGGUGAGAGGUAAGGAUCCAGUUUCAUUCUUGUGCAAACACAGAAACUGGUUGGAAUAACCAGUUUUUCCAACACCGCUUGUUAAAUAGGACAUCUUUCCUCCAAUAAACUGCAUGAACUGCAAACAUGUACUAAUAAAAAUAAGUAAAGAUUUUAAAAUAAAGUUUAGAGAUUUUUAUGAAAAACAAACAAAGAAAAAAGAUUUAGGGAGCUGUUGACCAACAUCAACUAGACUUUCAUCUGAUGAAGCUGGGGAGGCAGUUACUUCAUCUCAGUUGUAUUCAAAACUUUUCUUAGGCCUGUUCACAAGAUUUCAUGGGUUCUUCUUUUUGUCAUUUUUGUGAGCAGUAAAAGAUAUCAUUGAAAAAUAUCUGUAACCUCUUUCCCAAUCUCAAAAGUAUGCCAAUGAGUUUUCAUUUGGAGACAUAAACUUUCCAUAAAUGAAUCUUUGCUUUUUAUCUGAACAUAAUGGUGAUGUUUGGCAGGAUCAUAUUAAAGACUAUAUUCUUGUGGCUAAUUAUAUUAAUUGCCAAAAUUGAGUUCCUAUCUCUUAAUAAAAAUGAAGCUAUCUUCAAGAUCAGCUAGUCUUCCAUUCCUAUGGGAACUGAAGUAUAGGAUCAAAUACUUAAUGUUCUUUAUGUACAUAUCCAAAAUGUACCUAAGGAUUUUAUUAUUCAGCCCACUUAUCUCCAUUGUAUCCAUUAGAAUUAAAGAUGAAUCUAUGUUGACAUAUAUACAUAAACUAUAUACAUAUACAUAUAUGUGUAUACACACAUAUAGAUACACAAAUCAUCUACUAUUGUUUGGAUGUUGAAUGUUCUUCAAAGGCACCUGUGUUAAAGACUUGGCUCAAACAGUCACCUGGCUCAAAGGCAGAAUCACAUUGCAGAAGGGCAUGGUAGAGGAAAGCUGGUAGUUAAUGGAAGCCUGAAGCAGAGCAGAGUAACAGUGCCAGAGAGAAAGGGACAAAAGACGAGACAUAGACCCCCAAGACCACUCUUCCAUGGCCCACCCAGGCACACCCACUAGUGUGCUCCAUCAGUCCCUCAAGCAGAUCUCAAAGCAAAUCAAAUUGACACUCUACCCUAACAGGGGGUGAUGACUCAUUGGAAGGAAUGAUGCAGAAGAAACAUGAAAAAAAUAAUCUGAUACAUAAAGGGAAAAGAUAAAGAGAAAAGAGAAGAAAGAAGAUGUGGCCAUGAAUAAGAAAGGGAGAAGAAAGAAGUGCUUAUAAUUUUACACUCCAAGGGAGGGGGAUGUCCCCCCCAUAUCCUUAGCUCAUUGCCUAAUUUUACUCUAGCUAGUACUGUAUGCAAUAACCAAGGUAGAUUUCUAGAACAGCGAGGUCUUUUUGAUCUGCUGGAAUUCAUUCCUGGAUGUUAGAGAAAGAAAUUUUUUGGCCUCUGUCCUUGGAUAAGUAGGUCAAAGUAUUAAUUAGCCCACAGAUAUGCAUUUGACUAGGCUGGAGAAAGGAAAGACUACAGUAGUAUCUCAGUUCAUGAACGCUUUCGUUUGUAAACAGUUUGGUUCAAAACAGAAGCAUUUGGCAACAUUUUGUUUUUGUUUGCCAACUCUGGAUCAGGUAAUGAACAUGACUGCAGCCAUCUUUCCUGAAUGAAAGCGGCCAUCUUUUCCAGGAUCGUUCAUGAACCAAGGCACCACUAUAUUAGCAAAUUCAUUUUUUUCAGAGAAUUAGAUGGUGAGAUCAAAUCUAGAACCUCAGACUGCAUGUGGUGAAUAGUGAGGAGAUGAAUACAAAGGUGUCCAGCCAUGCAGAGAAAUAGGAACCAAUGGCAAGAACUCCCUGCAGGUAAUGCAGAAGAAAAAGGAUAGGAUUUGGAGUCAGGACUUAUAUGUUCAGAUCAGGGUCUUGCUAUAUGCCUUGGUCCUGUUAUUUUACCCUAUGAGGAACUCAGUUUUCAAGUAUGUAUAAUGGUGUCUCUACUAUGUUUUAGAUCUAGAAUGUUUCCCCAAAGUAUCAUUUGUUCAGAGGUGGUGGUUUUUUGAAGGUGAUUGAAUCAUGCAGUGCUAUACUCAUCAUCAGAUUAAACCACUGAUGAAUCCACAGCUGAAUGUACCAUGAGGAGGUGGGCUUCACACAUGUGUAAAUACCGAAUAGUUUCUCUGGUGUGAGAAACUGAAAGUGUAAAUAAGGACUAAAUGUAUAAUAGGUAAUGUGAAAUAGGAAGAAAAGG